GAUGAACGCUGGCGGCGUGCUUAACACAUGCAAGUCGAACGGAAAGGCCGAAGCUUGCUUCGGUCCUCGAGUGGCGAACGGGUGAGUAACACGUGGGUGAUCUGCCCUGUACUUCGGGAUAAGCUUGGGAAACUGGGUCUAAUACCGGAUAUGACGAUCUCUUGGAUGGGGUUGUGGAAAGCUUUUGCGGUAUGGGAUGAGCUCGCGGCCUAUCAGCUUGUUGGUGGGGUAAUGGCCUACCAAGGCGUCGACGGGUAGCCGGCCUGAGAGGGUGUACGGCCACAUUGGGACUGAGAUACGGCCCAGACUCCUACGGGAGGCAGCAGUGGGGAAUAUUGCACAAUGGGCGCAAGCCUGAUGCAGCGACGCCGCGUGGGGGAUGACGGCCUUCGGGUUGUAAACUCCUUUCGCAAUCGACGAAGCCUUUUGGUGACGGUAGGUUGAGAAGAAGCACCGGCUAACUACGUG
rnacentral:rRNA from 1 species